AUUUGCACGUGAUGAAUACAUGAUAUAUUGUGUGAUAUUGAAGUAACGAAGCAUGAUGUUAUGUUUUAAGCAUGAGAAAUAUUUAUUGGUAUUGGUAUGUAUGGUUCAUAAAUGAAAUGUUUCGUUAGACUUUCUAUCUCUGAGAGGUUUCUGUUUUUUUCUCAUCUUACCUAAAAAGAUAUAAGAGGAUCGUUUCUUGUGGACGACGGCAUAUCUUCUGACGAUAAUGGUGACACGAUA
rnacentral:lncRNA from 1 species